rnacentral:sRNA from 1 species
UGACUGCAUUCGAGAUGGUAACUUGGC